rnacentral:rRNA from 1 species
UGGGGAAUUUUGGACAAUGGGCGCAAGCCUGAUCCAGCCAUGCCGCGUGAGUGAAGAAGGCCUUCGGGUUGUAAAGCUCUUUUGUCCGGGAGCAAAGUUUGGUGGUGAAUACCCAUCAAAUAUGAGAGUACCGGAAGAAUAAGCACCGGCUAACUACGUGCCAGCAGCCGCGGUAAUACGUAGGGUGCGAGCGUUAAUCGGAAUUACUGGGCGUAAAGGGUGCGCAGGUGGUUGUGUAAGUCUGAUGUGAAAGCCCCGGGCUUAACCUGGGAACUGCAUUGGAGACUGCACGGCUAGAGUGCGUCAGAGGGGGGUGGAAUUCCACGUGUAGCAGUGAAAUGCGUAGAGAUGUGGAGGAACACCGAUGGCGAAGGCAGCCCCCUGGGAUGACACUGACACU